rnacentral:rRNA from 1 species
GAUCCUGGCUCAGGAUGAACGCUAGCGGCAGGCUUAACACAUGCAAGUCGAGGGGCAGCGCGGGGUAGCAAUACUCUGACGGCGACCGGCGGAAGGGUGCGUAACACGUGAGCGACUUGCCCGAUACAGGGAGAUAACCGGUGGAAACGCCGACUAAUAUCCCAUACGACAUGUGACUGCAUGGUCGCAUGUUGAAAGGUUCGCCGGUAUCGGAUAGGCUCGCGGGACAUUAG